rnacentral:rRNA from 1 species
GUGGCGAACGGGGGAGUAACGCGUGAGGAACCUGCCUCAAAGAGGGGGACAACAGUUGGAAACGACUGCUAAUACCGCAUAAGCCCACGGGUCGGCAUCGACCUGAGGGAAAAGGAGCAAUCCGCUUUGAGAUGGCCUCGCGUCCGAUUAGCUAGUUGGUGAGGUAACGGCCCACCAAGGCGACGAUCGGUAGCCGGACUGAGAGGUUGAACGGCCACAUUGGGACUGAGACACGGCCCAG